UUGACCUUGUCUUACUUAAAUUUAUUUAUCUCAUAAUAUACAUUUUCAUUACUUACAUCAUUUCUUCUAUACAAAACUAGACUCAGUAGGCUUCAAUUUAAUAUUCGACUCAAGCUCUAACUCAAUUUAUAUAUUUUUUUGUGAAUUUUCAAAAUUGAGACACAGUCACUAUUUUUUUUUCAAACAACUUAUACAUAUUCUUAAAAAAAAUUGUUUUUCCAAUUUCUAGUGUGGUGGGCCAAAUCUGCCCAGCCCAUUAACCUCAAACCAAAUAGUAAGAAACCCAAUAAUUAAUAAAUGUCCAUUUACAAAUAUCCUAAAACCAAACCCAAUGGCCCAAACUUAAAACCAAACCCAAUGGCACAAACUUAAACCCAAACCCAAAAGUCCAAAUACAUAAUUAUAACAGUCCAUUAAAUGUUUAAAGUCCAAUAGCUAAGCCCAGACCCAAUACAAACUAACCAGCCUAAGUGUAAAACCCUAACCCAAAACCCAGAUGGCCCAAUAGGCCCAAUGCCUAAAACAAGAGCCAAGGCAAAAACCCUAGCAGCCUCUGCUUGCGUCGCAACAACCCCAGCAGCCUCCAGGCGCCGUACAAUGCUCAUGCCUCCAUGUCAACAGCCCUCAUACGCCAGCACAGCCUCCGUACGAUGACAAUGCACCUCGUACCUGCAAGAAGGACGAACGUGACAGUAAAUACAAACAAAAAAUAGCAGAACAGCAAAUGGAGAGGAAGAAAAAUUGUAUUUUGAUUUUGAUUUUCCUUUUUUGCUUUCUCUCUUUUCUUUUCAGCUAUAAAGCCUAUUUUUUUCAAUUGUAAGAGGGUUCCCUUACGAACACACGCUAUACAGACACACAUUUGGCAUACCAAAUACAAAGAAAAAAACAAUCAAAAGGUGAUUUGAAGCAUCUUGUAUUCCUUUUCUUUGAAUCGGUUCCAUCUUUUUUUUGUUUUGUUUUUAGCAUUACGAAGUAAAACAGAGGCUUGCCUCGUGAGUCCGCCUUGGACUCCUCCUUGCUUCAUCGAAAUCGAGGGUGGAGGAGAGGUCUCGAGGCUGAAAACGGUUUUCAAAAGGCGAGUAUGCCUGCUGUUGGGGACGAUGGAGGCGAGAGCCAAAUGAUUUGGCUGAAGGUCGGCUGGAAAAGCAAAAUGGGGGCUAGGGUUUUGAAUGGCUGAAUAGCCAAAUUUCGGGUCUUUUAAAGGUCUGAAUACGGCGUCGUUUUGGGCCUGAUUCAGUGGCUCCAAAAACGGCGUCGUUUAGAUGGUUGGGGCUCCGCGCGUUGACCCGUCCUAGGACCUGGAUCCGGCUCUACGCCUCAAAUGAGGAAUUUGCAAUAUCAGUCAUUCCCUUUACGCUCCAUUUUUAAUCAGUUUUUAUUCGUAUCUCGUUUUUUUAAUUCGGCCCGUUUGUUUGAGC
rnacentral:lncRNA from 1 species